rnacentral:lncRNA from 1 species
CUCUUCAAGCAAAAAGACUUAGCAAUUUUGGGAACUCUUCAAAUACCACCAUUCCAGUGAACCCCAUUGCCCUUAGGAUAAAAUCUGCAAUCCUUCACAAGCCUUUGAGGCCCUGCGUGAUGGGGUCCUACCUGCCUCUCCAGCUCCGGCUCCUGCCACUGGCCCCCAAACCUCCUGCACUCAACCACAAUGGCCACCACUCUGGUUUCUGACUGCCCCAAUUUCCUCUCCACCUUCAGCCUUUGCUUGUGCUGCGCCCUCCCCCUGGGGCUCUUCCUCUCUCUUUACCUGGCAAUCCUCCUUAUCCUUGUUCCAGGUUGAAUGUCAUCGGCAAAGAUCAGGCAAGCUCCUCCAUUAUGAUCUUCUGGGAUCAUAAGAUCAUUAAGAACUUCAUUACAGGUCUUAGCACAAGCGUGAAUAAUUACUAUUGCUUUAAAAUUGUGCUCCCCCACUGGCAGGGACUUUGUCUAUCAUAUACACCUAGCACUUAGUGCAAUGCUGAAUAUUUCGUAGGUCAAAUGCACAAAUGAAUGAAGUAGGUGCACAAAAGAUAUUGACUGCCUAUGAGAGAAUCUAACAAAGCAAACCCAGUAAAACAAAAUCUUCAUCUUAAAUGUGCACAAACUAGGGAGUGAGUAUUCUCUCCUACCUCUCCUCUCCAAUCAUUCUGGCACAAGGAUUUCAGAUGGUCCUGCCUUCCCAUCAGGGCUGUACCAUCAAAUCUACUGCCUGGCUUUCAGGACCCUCCCUUAUCAUUAUCAUCAUCAUGAACAUUAUUGAACAUGUAAUAUGUUCCAUGUGCAUUACUCAGUAUUCUCUACUGAUCUAUUUUGAUCCUCACUGCAAUCCAUAAAAUAGUGCAGUGUAUUAAAGAUGGGCACAGAUGCAUAAAUUCUUUGACAUUUCUCUCAUUGAGAGGUGGGGUCUUUGUCCCCUCCCCUUGAAUCUGAGCUAUCAUGUGACUGCUUUGACCAAUAGAGUGCACAGGAAAUCAUGUCAUGCCUUUUCCAGUUUCUGUGUCGGAAUGGUCACUCUGGGGGAAGACUGCUUACAACUAAUGACUAACACCUAAUUGGCACAAAGAAUGUAAGAAGUCUGACUCCCCUGAGACUGCAGGGAGGAAACUCGAGCUGGUUGCAGGGAGAGGUCCUGGGGAAAGAAUGCCCUUCCAGCCCCCAGCUGUUGCAACCAUGCCAGCCCGGGUGCCAGGCACGUACAUGAAGGCACUAUCUUGCACAUCCAGCCCAGUGGAGCCUUCAGCUGACUCCAGCCCCAGCCACAGGAGAAGCUCCAUGACAGACCACUCAGCUGACCCCAGUUAACCCCCAAAAUUGUAAGAGAGAAUAACAAAUUAGUAUUUUAAGCCACUAGAUUGUGGGGAGGAUUAUUAGGCAGCAAUAAAUAGCCAAAACACAUAGGCACUAUUAUGACCCUGGCUUUAUAAAUGAGAAACUGAGACCCAGCACACUCAAAACCACACAGCUGGGAAGGGGUGGAGCUGGGAGCCCAAUCCAGGAAGGCUGGCUUCAGAACCCAGGCUUUCAUCAUCCAUGCAGCCACACCACUCUUUGGCAGGCAACUUUUUCCAUUUGACUCCUCCAAGACAUAGUCUCUACUGCUGUUGUGCCUCUAAAAGGGUCCCCUUCUCUUUCCUUCUGCCCAUGUGCCUAAUCCCCUACCUCUAUCAUGAUCCCCUCUCUGAAUCCUCUACUGAUAUGCCCUUCCUCCAAAUUCCUGGGUACAUUUAAAGAUAGGCAUCUAGCCUUACCAUUCAUUGUUCUAGUAAUAUUCUUCAUGCUGUUUUUUGCUUCACAACUAUACGUUAUCUCCUUAAAGGUCAAGACUAAAUCUCCUAUUUUGAUUUUGCCCACCUCUCCAGAAAACCUUGCCCAUCCCCACUUUGCCCAGCACAAUGCUGUGCACUCAAUAAAUGCACCCUCCAGCCAUACUGGCCAAGCUCAUUCCCUUUUCAGAGCCUUUAUGUUUGCAGUUCCCUUUCCCUGGAAUACGCUUUCUUAGCUUUCAACCUGAGCUGCUCCUUCACAGCACUCAGAUCUCAGAAAAUAUCUCCCCUCCACCAACAGGCCUAUCCUGACCACCCUGUCUAAAGGAGCCACGCCUCCCCACCCCUAGUCAGCCACUCACCAUCUCCUUAUCCUGCAUUGUAUUAAUUAGUUGUCAGUUUCUUAAUUCCCUUAGGUAGCAAACAAGUUCCAGAAGGACAGAACAUGCCCAUCUUGUUUAUUGCUAUAGUCUCAAUCCCCAGGACAGUUUCUGGCCUAUAGUAACAUCUCAAAAAAUAUUGUUAAAUAAAUGAAUGCAUAUUUGUUGAUUGAAUCUUCACUUCAUAAGAUCUGCCACCAUGGAGCAGUUGUGCUCAUGUACACAAAACAUUUUCCCCUAUCAUGUCAGUUGCAUCUUCAGCAUAAUGUGCAACCUUCCACUUCUCAUGCAGAAAGACUAUACUUGCCUCUAAGGUGAACUCUGUGUUUAUUUUAUAUAUAUAUAUAUAUAUUUUAAGUUCUGGGAUACAUGUGCAGAACGUGCAGGUUUGUUACAUAAGUAUACAUGGGCCAUGGUGGUUUGCUGCACCUGUCAACCCAUCAUAUAGGUUUUAAGCCCCACAUGCAUUAGGUAUUUGUCCUAAUGCUCUCCCUCCCCUUGCCCCCAACCCCUUGACAGGCCCCGGUGUGUGACGUUCCCCUCCCUGUGUCCAUGUGUUGUCACUGAGGUAAAUUCUGUGUUUAUUUAGCCAGUUGUUGACGUCGGGCAGUAGUCUACAUGCUGCUUUGGUUGUCCAAACCAUUUUUCACAACUGAGUUCUCAGAAGAACAGUGGGUUUUUUUUUGUUUUUGUUAUUGUUUUGUUUUGUUUUCAUUUUUCUUUUAUAGAGACAGGGGCUCAUUGUGUUGCCCAGGCUGAUCUCAAACUCCUGGGCUCAAGCAAUCCAUUCACCUCGGCCUCUCAAAGUGCUGGGAUUACAGGCAUGAACCACCAUGCCUGGCCUAGAAGAGUGCAUUUAAAGCUGGUCGAGGAGCCUCUAGGAUGACCCCAAGAAGAGAGGGUGGCCAAGCAGGCUUAGUACGACAUGCAUUAAUAAAGGCCACAUUGCAGGGAUGAUGAAAUGAGAAUAUUAAAUCCAAUGGAGGUCCAUUUUGCUCACUAUGGUAAACACAGAAAUUCAUCCUGGUAUCUAGAACAGAGUAAAUCCUCAAUAAACACUUGUUGAAUGAACAAAGGAACAAACCAAUGAAUUAAUGAAACAUCUUUACCUUGUGUCUCAUUUCUUAUCACUUAUCAUUUCAAUAUGUGCAAGAACUCAGAGUACAUUUUUCAUUUUGUGUAUGUGAAACUUACCAACAAAAUAGUAGCUAAAAAGUUGUAAAACUUACAAGUUUUCAACAACAAAGUUGAAAUGUAAAUGAACAUCUGUGCUCCCCGAAAUACAUAAUAGGCAAGUAGAGAAAUCUAGAAAGGAAAGGCCACAGGCUGAGGGAGUUAACAGAUGCGAUAGUCUAUUAACAUUAAUUUUCUGAAGUGUAUAUUUCAGAAAUUUGCUCAGCCUCGCUGAGUCUCAGUUUCCUCAACUGUAUACUGAAGACAAUUUCUUUAUUUACCAACCUGAAAUAUUCAUAGUGAGUCUAAGAUGGAAGAACAGAUGAGUAAAUACUUUAAAAGUGUAAUAAGAGGCCAGGCGUUGUGGCUCACACCUGUAAUCCCAGCACUUCGGGAGGCCAAGGCGGGCAGAUCAUUUGAGGUCAGGAGUUCGAGACCAGACUGGCCAACAUGGCAAAACCCUGUCUCUACAAAAACUACAAAAAUUAGCUGGGCGUGGUGACACGCGCCUGUAAUCCCAGCUACUCAGGAGGCUGAGAGGCAUGAGAAUCACUUGAACCCAGGAGGUGGUGGUUACACUGAGCUGAGAUUGUGCUGCUGCACUCCAGCCUGGGCAACAGAGCAAGACUCCAUCUCAAAAGAAAAAAAAAAGUGUAAUAGGAAUAUGAGCUAAUCGACAGUUUCCAUCUUCCUCUCUUUCUGACAUUUCAAAUACUUAAAAAUACUUUUAAAAAUUUUUUAAUCAAUGUAAUAUAUUUUUUACUAUUUCUGAGUUUCAUGAUUCAUUCACAAAUGACUAUUACCUGUUUGUUCCAAAUACUCAAUCUGCAAAGUUUUUCCUAAUCAUUUUAUAAUUCUUCACUCGUUUUUAUUCUGUUCUCUCUGCUUUUCAGCAAAGGAUCUCAUGGUAUAGAGAGCUUCUCCAUCUUACCAGAGGCAGAGAGCAAGUUAGAAACAGCAAAGAAAAAAUCAAACUCUUGAGCCUCUAGUCUGUGGUUUAUAGUAUAGAGCCCAAACAACUGGGCCUAUAAAAUUGUCACUAGUGGCGGUGUGCGGUGGCUCACACCUGUAAUCCCAGCACUUUGGGAGGCCAAGGAGGGAGGAUCACCUGAGGUCAUGAGUUCAAGACCAGCCUGGUCAACAUGGUAAAACCCUGAUUCUACUAAAAGUACAGAAAUUAGCCAGGUGUAGUGGCGGGUGCCUGUAACCCCAUCUACUCAGGAGGUUGAGGCAGGAGAAUCUCUUAAACCUGGGAGGUGCUGGUUGCAGUGAGCUGAGUUAGUGCCACUGCACUCCAGCCUGUGCAACAGAGGAAGACUCCAACAACAACAACAAAAAAAAAAAAAAAAAAAAAAAAAGGCACUAAGAGAAAAGUCAGAACAUAGAAACUAGUCCAUUGGCUCUCAAAUUCAGGGUGGCAUCAGAAUCACUUGGAAGCCUUGUUAAAACACAGACUGUUGCAUCCUCACACCCCACCCCAAAGUUUUAGGAGUUCUGGGGUAGUGUCUGGGAUCCUGUAUUUCUAACAGGAAUUUUGUAUUUCUAACAGGAAAAUUGGCACUACAUUCCCAUGUAAUGCCAAUGCUACUGGUCUGCCAGUCACACCGUGAGAACCAAGUACCUCGCCUUUUCAUACACUAACUCCUUUGAUUCUCCCCAACAAUCCUUUCCCAUUUUAUAGAUGAGAAAACUGAAGCCCAAAGAAUAAGCUCUACUCGCAUUCCAGCUUGAUGAUUAACCAAAUCACUAUAAUCUUCAGAAAGUGAAUUAACUUUUCUGUGGCUCAUUUUCUUCAUCUACUGAAAAAAUAUUGUCAGGUACUUCGUGAGGAUUAAAAGGACAGUGGUGUCUAAGAAGUGCUCCGCAAAGUCAAAGACAAGGCAGAAUUCUAGGAAUCUCACUUAGCACAUGGUUGUGUUUUUGUCACUUUUUUAUUUGCAUGGGAAAUUUUUAACCACAGUCUUGGCAAAGUACUCCAUCCCAUUGUCCAAACAUCAGUAUCCACAGAUUCUGUUUUCCGAGGUUUUGUUUUGUUUGUUAAUUACUGAGUUUGUUUUUCCAAGAACUUCCCUUAUGUGCUAUAAGUGGAGGAUGUUGGGGGGCAUGUGAAGGUGGGGAGCUGUUUCAAACACAUUGAACAUUUCCAUUUCUAAGACAAUGCUCGACUGGAUAGACAGUGUUCCCUAUGAUGUGAUACAUAGUUAUGUUGGAGAUUAGUGCGAGCAUAGCCUCCUUUGGUAUAAGGUUCUCUGAUUUGGCUUUCAGAGGAUUCAGUGUAUUUUGAUUUCUAUAUUUAGAAACCCAAGGCUUUUUGGUAUGCUAUGAACACAUCGAGGCAAGACUAAUUGUAAGCACUUGUACUUAAAUAUUAGUUUCAAGAAUAAGAACCUUCAGAGGUUUCCAUAUUGUAUUCCACUGGAGUAUCAUUAAGGGAAGCAAUUACUUAUCAGGGUAUACUCAAAACAACUAUCGCAUUCGGAGGAAAUAAUGGGAGUUGUCUGUCUAAAUUGCUAGGCAGGGGCCCUGGAAAUCACUUAGCAUAAUUCUUGGCAUAAGGUAAGCAGUCAAUACAUGGAACAGAGAUUCACCCAAAUGAGCACAUAGUAUGUGUUAGGAUUUUACACAUAGCAUGUCAUUGAGUCUUUAUAAUGUCCCCUGAUUUAGGUAUGGCUGUUCAUUUAUAGAUGAGGAAACUGAGAUUCAUGGAAGUUAGGCGAUGUUUAUCAGGUCCUUAGGGAAGUAGGUGAGGGCUGAAUUUAUGAUGCCAGCCCAUAGGUGCUUGAUGUCAAAAGCAAUUUUCUUUCCACUACACUAGGCUAUUUCCUUCCUUGCCUCUUUCCUUUUUGUCUUCCCUCCUCUAUAGGGUUCCUUCCACAAAUAUCAGAAGUCUUUGUGAAUGCCAGCCAACAACCACUGUCAGCAAGGUAUUCCCAUUUUAUGGAUUGGUUCAUAGUAGAAAAAAGUGAUACCUCAAAGCCACCCCCGAAAAGUUUCAGUAUAAAAUACGUAACUUCUUUCUGAAUCCUAUUCCUCAGCCCUCAACUAUAAGCGCGAGGGUACGUUACAGAGGAUCCUUUAUUUAGGAAAACAAAGUGUUUGGGUCUAGACAACAGGCCCAUGACAGUCCAUCACCCAGGGCCAAGGCUCCCAGCUGCCCAAGGUGGCUGAGAUACAUGGGAGGAAAAACUGGUCUUGCUUCCAAUUUGAAUUGCAAAUGCUUCCUGGAGACAGAAGUCAGGCGGAUAUGCCCAUUUAUUUAUUGCCUAGUGCUACAAUAGCUAAAUAAAAAUAAAUAAAUAAAAGUAAAGCACCUACUGAUUUAUUAUUCAGAAUAAAUACAUAAAUAAAGGCCUAGAGCAAUAAAAAGGGUUAAUUGAGGGCUUUCUUUGCAUUUUCCCCUAAACACCAGUUGUCUUUCUCUUCUAUUUCUUCACUUUUUUUCCCCCGUUUUUAUGCCUCAUGCCUCUUUUAAUUUUUUCUGUUUUCCACAUCCUUUCUCUAUCUUUCUGUCCCUCUCUUCAAGAACCGUUCCCCUUCAUCUCCUGAGCACCUCCUCUCUAGUAUUUUGUGUCUGGUUCCAAGAGGAAAUAGCAGAGCAGUAGAGUUUUCACCUCCCUGUUGGCAAGUGCUUUGUGUCACACUGUCACUUAGGACACACUGAUCUAUAGGUCUCUUCUGCUGCUGAGAAGAGACAGGGAUGGUGAAGGUACAUCUCGAGCUGGGAUAUUUUCUCCUAAAAUGUACCCUAAAAAUUGCACCCAGCAUCUAAUUUUAAAUGGAUUACAGAACUGGAUUUUUUUCACGGCUUUUUCUUACUAUAAAAGUAAUAAAUACUUACUGAAAAUACAGAAAAAUAUAAAGAGAGUAAUCACCCAUUCUUACUGUAAUAUGAAAGCAAUCACUAUUAAAUGUGUAUGCCUUUUAUCCCUGUAUUUUAACAAACAUCACGUUUGUUCAUAUAUAUCACUAAUGAUAUAUCACACAUUCAUGUAUCACUAAUUUUACAUACAUGCAUGCACUGUUCACAUUAUUCUAAUUCUCAUCAACAUCAUUAUGGCUGCAUCUUAUUCCAAUGUGUGAACAUACCAAAAUACACUGAGUCAUACUUCUUUUGGUAGAUAGCUGGCUUUUUGUUUUUUUUCCAUUUUUUGCGUUAUAAAUAACGCUGCCAUGAGGCAAACACAGUGGCUUGCACCUGUAAUCCCAGCUACUUGGGAGGCUAAGGAAGGAGGACUGCUUGAGGCCAAGAGUUGGAGGCCAUCCUGGGCAACAUAGCAAGAUCCACCCAUCUCUAAAAAAUAAAAUUUAAUUUAAAAUAAUAAUAAAUAAAUAAUGUUACCAU